GUGCUCGCUUUGGCAGCACAUAUACUAAAAACUGGAUGAUACAGAGAAGAUUAACAUGGCCCCUGCACAAGGAUGAUAUGCAAAUUCGUGAAGCGUUCCAUAUUCAA
ensembl:snRNA U6 U6 spliceosomal RNA